UACGGAGGGGGCUAGCGUUGUUCGGAAUUACUGGGCGUAAAGCGCGCGUAGGCGGAUCUGCAAGUCGGGGGUGAAAUCCCGAGGCUCAACCUCGGAACUGCCUUCGAUACUGCGGGUCUCGAGUCCGGGAGAGGUGAGUGGAAUUCCUAGUGUAGAGGUGAAAUUCGUAGAUAUUAGGAAGAACACCAGUGGCGAAGGCGGCUCACUGGUCCGGUACUGACGCUGAGGCGCGAAAGCGUGGGGAGCAAACAGG
rnacentral:rRNA from 1 species